GACGAACGCUAGCUACAGGCUUAAUACAUGCAAGUCGAGGGACCGGCGCUCGGGUGAGUAACACGUACCCAACCUUCCCUUUACCCGGGGAUAGCCUUUCGAAAGAAAGACUAAUACUCGAUAUAAUGGAUGGGGAUGCGUUCCAUUAGGUUGUAGGUGAGGUAUCGGCCCACCAAGCCUUCGAUGGAUAGGGGUUCUGAGAGGAAGGUCCCCGAGAUUGGAGCAGAGACACAGUCCAAACUCGGACGGAAGGGAGCAGUGAGGAAUAUUAGUGAAGAAGCGUUAGCCGGAACCAGCCAAGUAGGGGAAAGGAGGAAGGGUUAGGGAUCGUCAACUUUUAGUGUAGAAGAAUAUGUAUUAAAUGAAUAAGGAUCGGCUAACUCCGUGCCAGCAGCCGCGGUAAUAC
rnacentral:rRNA from 1 species